UUUUUUUUUUGGUUUUUUGGGUGAGACAGGGUCUCUGUUGCCCAGGCUGGGGUGCAGUGGCGCUAUCUCAGCUCGUUGCAGCCUCGACCUCUUGGGCUCAGAUCAUCCUGUCACCUCUGCUUCUCAAGUAGCUGAGACUACAGGCUUGCGUUGCCAAGCCCGGAUAACUUUUUGUAUUUGUUUUUUUCUUUUAUUGUAGAGACGCGGUUUUGCCAUGUUGGCUAGGCUGGUUUCAGACUCCUGAGCUCAGUGAUCCGCCUUUCUUGGCUUUCCAAAAGGCUGGGAUUACAGGUAUGAGCCACACUGCCCAUCUUACAGCAAACAUUUUUUGAUGUCUGUUGAAUACCAGGCAACAUGAUAGACUUUGGGGUAAAGUAACAAAUUGAGAAAUACACAAUCCCUGAUUUCAAGAAAUUGGUCAUGAAGUGGAAAGAAGGAAUGGUUACUAAGAGGCUCAGCAGAGGAAAACAUGUCAGCCUAGAGGGACUACUGCAGUUUCCGUCAACCAAGUUGACACUUCAGGGAUACUUUUGUGACCACCAGGCAUUACAAGGAUCCUCAAAGUUCCCCAGGAGAAUCCUGUUGAAAAUGAAGCCACUAUCAUGGUUAAGAGGAUUUGAAAUCUAAGAUCAGGAGUGACUGCUUUCGGUGAAUACAAGUUUCUAAGACUAGAAGAUGGACAUUCUAAAGUUCAGAAAAAGUCACUUCUCAAAUCACUAAGUUAUGUUGCUUCCUUCACAAUGUUGACCAAGAAUCCCUUCACCCCUUUUCUUGUUAACAUUGCAGUCAAACAUUGAUUAUCAUGCACUUUAAUAAAAUAAUAGCCAAAUUGUUAUCUCA
rnacentral:lncRNA from 1 species